AGCCAGUGAUUAAACUUAAUAUUUCUGACACCUCAUAUGAGAGCUACCAGCUCCUGAUUCUAACUUUUUUGUUCUACUGAGGCUA